ensembl:miRNA mir-39 miscRNA
UAUACCGAGAGCCCAGCUGAUUUCGUCUUGGUAAUAAGCUCGUCAUUGAGAUUAUCACCGGGUGUAAAUCAGCUUGGCUCUGGUGUC